GUAGUGACGAAAAAUAACGAUGCAGAACUCUUUCCGAGGCUCUGCAAUCGGAAUGAGUACACUCUAAAUCAUUUAACGAGUAUCCAUUGGAGGGCAAGUCUGGUGCCAGCAGCCGCGGUAAUUCCAGCUCCAAUAGCGUAUAUUAAAGUUGUUGCGGUUAAAAAGCUCGUAGUUGGAUCUGUGUUCCACUCUGUCGGUUCGUUGCCCGUCAACGUUUAACUGGCAGGCAGGUGGAACGUCCUGCCGGUUGGCAGCGUGCUCCCGAGAGGGUGUGCGUGCGCCAGUCCAAUCCUGUCGCGGUGCUCUUUAUUGAGUGUCGAGGCAGGCCGGCACGUUUACUUUGAACAAAUUUGAGUGCUUAAAGCAGGCCGUGACGCCUGAAAAGUGUUUGCAUGGAAUAAUGGAAUAGGACCCCGGUUCUAUUUUGUUGGUUUUCGGAGCCCGAGGUAAUGAUUAAUAGGGACAGGCGGGGGCAUUAGUAUUGCGACGUUAGAGGUGAAAUUCUUGGAUCGUCGCAAGACUGACCUAAGCGAAAGCAUUUGCCAAGGAUGCUUCCAUUAAUCAAGAACGAAAGUUAGAGGUUCGAAGGCGAUCAGAUACCGCCCUAGUUCUAACCAUAAACGAUGCCAGCCAGCGAUCCGUCGAAGUUCCUCCGAUGACUCGACGGGCAGCUUCCGGGAAACUAAAGCUUUUAGGUUCCGGGGGAAGUAUGGUUGCAAAGCUGAAACUUAAAGGAAUUGACGGAAGGGCACCACCAGGAGUGGAGCCUGCGGCUUAAUUUGACUCAACACGGGAAACCUCACCAGGCCCAGACACCGGAAGGAUUGACAGAUUGAGAGCUCUUUCUUGAUUCGGUGGGUGGUGGUGCAUGGCCG
rnacentral:rRNA from 1 species